UUGGCGCACUUAUACUUGCAAGUGGAAACUGGUUGAACAUCGUGAACGUAAAAAAAAAAAAAAAAAAUCAGCUAAUUAGUCUAAUGAUCAAAUUAACGAAUUAUACUUAUUGUAUCAUUUGGAUUAGAAUAAGAAAGUUAAAAAAAAAAUAUAUAUAUAUAUUAUAUAAAUAUAUAUAGAGCAAGAAAAUUAAAAAUUUGGAGUAGAAGGAGAGAUUCAACGAGGAAGAAGAAAGUCCAAAUAGAGUGGGUAGACGCUUUCGAGGAGUAGGCUCUAUAUUUAUCGCGGCAAUAAGGCGGCUCGAGGCCGAGUGUCGUCAAGCCAGAGGUCGGAGGGGAAGCGGCAGUAGUGCGGGAAACGUCGGAGUGCAGACCGGCGUCGUCGGGACAAUCGGUGGCCGUCGUUAUCGUUAACGACGCACCAUCCAAUACCGUCGUCACUCUCUCCUAUUUCUUUUCUCUUUCCUAUUUCCCUUUCCUUCCUGUUUUAGUUCCCUACCUUUUCCUCUCACUUUCCUCACCCCGCGUUUCUGUUUUACUUGAAUCGCACGGCCAUUCGACCGCUUAACCACCGAACCACCCAACUAUCCAACCAUCCAUGUUUCCCACCCACCCAACCACCCACCUAUCCAGCCACCUACCCAUCCUAUCAAGCUAACCAACCAUCUGACUGGAUAAAUCGUUCGUCAGAAAUCUAUACGAGGUUUAUCAAGUUCUGGUACUAUUACGAAGCUAUCUCCGUUAAGUUAGCGUCGUGUUGCGCCGCCAAUAGCACGUUGCUAUACCAUGCCGUGGUGACUAUUUCUCUGACCAUUCCCCUGCCGAUUCACGGCACGAGGCCACGCCAGACUACAUCUAGCGUGACCUAGGGUGGCGUGGCACAGUAUCGUUUAUCGCAGAGACCCAAACUCUUGGAAGGGAUCUACGCGACGUCUCACGUAUCUAGCAUCGAAUGCGCCAGGAACGAGGCUAUUAUGCGAGUGCGCAUACAUAUCCACACCAAACGAUCGACGGUAUGCCUGCACGCGAGUCUCACUUACCACGUAUGAAUUUAUGUUUGAUUUCGUGAGAAGAAAGACAAAGACCGAACAGGGAGUGUGAAGAAAUGGAAAUAAUGGAAGAAAGUUGUCAAACUUAGAUUUUUGAUUUCUUUUUUAUUUUAUUUUUAAUUUACUUAAUUGAAAAUUAAAUUAAUUAAUCGAUAUAGAGAUUCUUUCAAUUACUUAUCUGAAAUAAAAUAAAUUGAAAAAUAUUUUAUUUUUUUUGAAAAGAAAUUAUGUUCUUAUUGCUUUUAUCAUAGAAUCGAUUAUAAUUUUUUCUUUUUGAUUCACUAUUAUUUACAAUUAUUUGUAACUUAAAAAUUAAUUAAGAAAUAAUAUAUACGAAAGAAAAAUUCAUUUUUUGAAUUUAUUUUUA